rnacentral:rRNA from 1 species
CUGCGAGUGAAGCGGGAAGAGCUCAAAUUUUGAAUCUGGCGGUUUUUGACCGUCCCGAGUUGUAAUCUAGAGAAGCGUCUUCCGCGCUGGACCAUGUACAAGUCUCCUGGAAGGGAGCGUCAUAGAGGGUGAGAAUCCCGUCUUUGACAUGGACUACCAAGUGCUAUGUGAUGCGCUCUCAACGAGUCGAAGUUGUUUGGGAAUGCAGCUCAAAAUGGGUGGUAAAUUCCAUCUAAAGCUAAAUACAGGCGAGAGACCGAUAGCGAACAAGUACCGUGAGGGAAAGAUGAAAAGAACUUUGGAAAGAGAGUUAAACAGUACGUGAAAUUGCUGAAAGGGAAACGCUUGAUGUCAGUCAUGUUGGGCAGGGAUCAACCUUGCUUUUUUGCUGGGUGCAUUUCCUGUUCAAUGGGUCAGCAUCAGUUUCUGUCACUGUACAAUGGCUGGAGGAAUGUGGCACUCUUUGGAGUGUGUUAUAGCCUUUGGUCAUAUGCAGUGGGUAGGGACUGAGGAACUCAGCAUGGCUUUUACAGCUUGUUGCUUAGGAUGCUGGCAUAAUGGCCUUAAGCGACCCGUCUUGAAACACGGACCAAGGAGUCUAACAUGCCUGCGAGUGUUUGGGUGGCAAACUCGAGUGCGAAAUGAAAGUGAAAGUUGAGACCUCUGUCAUGGAGGGCAUCGACGCCCAGACCAGAGUCUUUGACAAAGGAUCUGCGGUAGAGCAUGUAUGUUGGGACCCGAAAGAUGGUGAACUAUGCCUGAAUAGGGUGAAGCCAGAGGAAACUCUGGUGGAGGCUCGUAGCGAUUCUGACG